UACGUAGGUGGCAAGCGUUAUCCGGAAUUAUUGGGCGUAAAGAGCGUGCAGGUGGUUGAUUAAGUCUGAUGUGAAAGCCCACGGCUUAACCGUGGAGGGUCAUUGGAAACUGGUCGACUUGAGUGCAGAAGAGGGAAGUGGAAUUCCAUGUGUAGCGGUGAAAUGCGUAGAGAUAUGGAGGAACACCAGUGGCGAAGGCGGCUUCCUGGUCUGUAACUGACACUGAGGCGCGAAAGCGUGGGGAGCAAACAGGAUUAGA
rnacentral:rRNA from 1 species